CAUAAGCGGAGGGGAAAAAAAGGAAAACUAACAAGGAUUCCCCUAGUAGCGGCGAGCAACCGGGAAGAGCUCAAAUUUAAAAAUCUGGCGUCCUUUCCGGGGGGGGGCCCGGNUUCCGAGUUUGUAAUCUACAGAAGUGGUUUUUCCGUGCCGGACCGGUGUUCCAAGUCCCUUGGAAUAGGGUAUCAAGAGGGUGACAAUCCCGUACUUGACACGACAACCGGUGGCUCUGUGAUACCUUUCCUACGAGUUUCGGAAGGUUUGGGUUUUUUUUGGGGGGGGAAAAAUUUGGCCCAAGGCCCUUCAAAAAUGGGGGUUGGUUAAGAAUUCCCAUUCUUAAAGCUAAAUAUAGGCGAAGAAGGAACCCGGAUUAGGCCCGAAACAAAGUACCGUGAGGGAAAGAUGAAAAGCACUU
rnacentral:rRNA from 1 species